rnacentral:misc_RNA from 1 species
AAGUCGUAACAAGGUUUCCGUAGGUGAACCUGCGGAAGGAUCAUUAAGUAUCAAGUGGGUUUGGGAUGGGAAUGGUGUUAAUCACCUUCUGCUGCCCUGCCCGCUGAAUAUUUACCCAUGUCUUUUGCGUACUCUUUUUGUUUCCUGGGCAGGCUUGCCUGCCAACAGGACUCACAUAAACCAUUUGCAAUUGCAAUCAGCGUCAGAAUAAACAAAAUUAUUACAACUUUCAACAACGGAUCUCUUGGUUCUG